UUGGAGGGCAAGUCUGGUGCCAGCAGCCGCGGUAAUUCCAGCUCCAAUAGCGUAUAUUAAAGUUGUUGCAGUUAAAAAGCUCGUAGUUGAACUUCGGGGUCUACCCAUUGGUCAGGCUUAAUUGUCUGUACUGGUGAGAUGGAUCUCUACCUUCUGAGGAACUUUCAUGUCAUUUAUUUGGUGUGAUGGGAAAUCAGGACUGUUACUUUGAAAAAAUUAGAGUGUUUAAAGCAGACUAUCGUCUGAAUACAUUAGCAUGGAAUAAUGAAAUAGGACGGACUGAUUCUAUUUCGUUGGUUUCUAGGAUCACCGUAAUGAUUAAUAGGGAUAGUUGGGGGCAUUAGUAUUCAAUUGUCAGAGGUGGAAUUCUUGGAUUUAUUGAAGACUAACUACUGCGAAAGCAUUCGCCAAGGAUGUUUUCAUUAAUCAAGAACGAAAGUUAGGGGAUCGAAGACGAUCAGAUACCGUCGUAGUCUUAACCAUAAACUAUGCCGACUAGGGAUCGGACGAAGUUAAUUUUAUAAUGACGCGUUCGGCGCCUUACGGGAAAC
rnacentral:rRNA from 1 species